UUGCGUUCUACUGUCAAAACAGACUACUUAUAAGCUAUUUCACAGUAGAUUGCAUAACUUUGUUUUGAAAACUCUGCUGGGAUAAAAAUUAUAAAAGGCCCAGGCAAAUUAACCAUAUCAGAGUCAUUCUUCUGACCCUAAAUCCUAUACAGUAUUUUUCACUGAUGUUUUGCUGGGCUAACUAUAUUAUGUGGUAUAGAUUUUGAUACAACGUUUAUUACUAUUAGUAUACCCAAAAUUGGAAUGAAUAGUUAUACAGGGUGAUUUAACUUCAUUCUCUAUAGGUAUGGCAAAAUUUAAGCACUAAUCAAGUCACCCAGGAAUCUGUACCAGGCCCCAUGUCUUGAACUUUGUAGGAAAGUUACCUAUACUUAAUUCUAUAAUAGCUUUACCCUGCGACCUCGUUUCUAUAGCCUCUAUAGACCUCAGGGAUAAUGUAGCUAUUUAUGAUUGAAAGAAUUUUCAGAAUUAGAUCAUUAGUACCGUAGAUUACGCCCCUACAUACAAACUAACAAAUACCUACCUAUUGUACAAAAAUCUAUUUUGUUAUUUAUAUAUUCUUGUCUUUCAUGUCUUGAUGUACAAUAAAUAAUAUUUACUUUUACUUUCCUUUACUAACACAUUUUUUCUCUAUCAUACUAGUAUAGACAAAAUCAGAGAAUCACGGCCCAGCACAGAUUCCUAUGUGACUAAUGCUUUAGAUGUCCAAUAAGGCCGGAAACAAGCCACAAACUUUGAGUCUAGUUUGAUUAAACUCUUGUCGCAUGGUGACGGGUCAAGUGGCGUGUUAAAAGUAUGAUACUAGCUUAAGAUCCCCUUCACACGCCAUUUUUCACAUGUUUCUUUUGCAAGAUAAAUCUUACCGUAUACGUAGUGGCGAAUAUUUAUACUGAGUAGAACCAUUCACACCGUAAAAACGACGUAUGAAUGGUUCUGUACUCAAAUGCAUGCGCUACUACGUAUUCGGUAAGAUAUAUUCUGUAAAAAAACGUGUUGUAUGAAUACUGUGUGAACGAGGUCUAAUGGAACAUCUGUACAUUGCCUUUGUAAUUUUUUAAGCUAAGCAUCGUAAAAAUAAGAGCUAAUUAGGUGCUAGACGUGAUUUAACUUUGAAAUCCCAACAAUAUAUCAGUGAAAGUUGUACAAGAUAUCCAUGUACUAGUUCAUGCUGUGUUGUAGUAUACAAAUCUUAAACUGAACUAAAUUGACGAAUCUUUAAGUAGCGCUCUCCCUAUCCAUAUGGAACAUUAUGAAAAGGAUGGCGUAUUUUUAGACCAGUUAUUUCAGUUAAGAUUUGUGUAAAAACUGAAUCUACACCAUUGUAUAAUAAAUAAAUUAUACUGUAGUUUAACUAAUGUUGAGGCCUAUUUGAUCGCGUUAAAACAAAAUUGAAGGGUUACUUACUCUGUUCUUUUACUUGAAAGUUAAGGAGUGAAUUCGAGCCCAAGAAAAUUUACAUCCCUAGUUCGUCACUAUUAUAGUAUUUUAAUGUUUAAGGCUAAGAUCAGACGAUUGUGUGAAAACGCGCGUUCCCAAAUACUAAUAUCAAGCAUGCUACGCGUAGCUAUAUUAAAAUAACAGUGUGACAACAUAGUACAAUCAUCAAUCAUGUUAAAAACGUCUUAUAGUCUGCACACUGCAUGCAUUUAUAGAUAGAUCUUUCUAAUUUAGUCUUCAUGGACGAAAUUAAGGUAGUUUUGUUAAUACAAAAACACGAUUAAGAGGUUUAAAUAUAUUUUAAAAUUAACUUAUACAGUAAAUUAUUGUUGUAUUGUUGUAAAUCUGGUAAAUUUAAAAAGCCUGCCUUUAAAUGUGCUGUAAUAUAUCAGAAUUUAAUGUAACAUCAAAGACAACAGGAAAAAAAAUUACCUGUUGUGUUUGUUGUAUGUAUCCAUUUUAAAAUGACAAUGGUACUGAUUCUGAGUACAACUAAAUUUUAGAGUUUAUAUGAAAAGGACAGACGCAGUUUGAAGGUUUUAUUUAAUUUAGAGCUGUCUCACCGCGUGACUUUAACUGCCGGUCGCGAGACUAUUGUUGAGUGUGUAGCGUGCACUAAAAUUUAGUCUUUGAAUGUAAAAUUCAUGUUCCGUCCUUUUUGAGCAAUAUUAAAAAGAAAAAGAUGCAGAUACUCUAAAUUUAGUUUACGGAAAGACAACAGAAUCGGUGCCAAAGUCUUUCCACAAAAACGCGGUUUAAACAAACAUUAAACCCGUUUAGCUUGUACAACCCAAAAGUUUGACGUCAGUUUAGUUUAGUUUAAACCUUAUUUUUGUGGUAAGACUGAUAAUAUUUUGGUAUUGUGGUGACGUCGCAACUGGUUUCUGCAGUAUGGCGAUAAUAUGCAUAUUGUGAUCUUAGGCGCAAGGCACAUUGCAGUACAGUCUACAGUCACAGGCAAGCGUCUUUUUAAAAAUGUUAAAAGUAAACUGAACUUUAUUAAAAUAUAAUGUAGUACAGGUUUGUGUAAAUCAGAAUGAAGGAGUAAGAGGUAACGCUAAGUUAACGUUCCAACAAUUUAGAAAAGUCGCGUCGCGUUGAUUCAACUCUCCGGCGAUGUGCCUUGUAUCUUAUAUUAUAGAAAGUAAAAUACUUCCGACAGGGAUCCUAGUGCCCGGUAAACAACUAACAACUUGAGCUUUGACGCGAUUGGCUGGUGAAUGGCGCGUGCACGCGAUUGGUUGAUCAGUCGGCGCGAGUGCACGAGAUUGGUUCAUACGUCGAUUUUCGCGUGCCGGAUUCGCCAACUUCUCCCACACGCUCUUGAGGUCCAAGUUGUUUGCCGGGCACUAUAACUGUGCAUUUGUGACGUAAUUUACCGGGCUACCCCUCCAAGUGUAUGGACGCUAAAGUGAAGUGCGUAUAAAAUAUUUAGAUAGUGUUUAAAAUAACCCACUAAACAAUAAGACGAUCCAAUUUUUUUUUAAAUUAUUUAGUUAUAACGAAGUUUUGGUCACUUUUUCACUAAUGGGAAAUUCCUCUAUCACAUAAUCAUUAUGUCUGUCCCCACAGUAUUAUUAAAAGAAUGUAUUACUAUAUUUCGUCCAAUUAGAAUUAUUAGGUAUUAUUUAUUCCUGAUUUACUAUGAUUCAAUUAUAAAUAUUACCAAAAACUGUAGAUUUACACUGGACGAUUUUCGUUGCAUGCUGCACAAUUUUUUUUUUUGCCAGCACAAGGUUUUUGCCUUGCGGCAUAGUUGUGCGGCGAAGUUGACUCUUGCAAAUUGACCGUUAGGUAUAGCUGUACAAGGAUCCCCACCUCCAAGCUAAACGAUUUAUGGGCCGCCCAGCUCGCAAAUGUGGAUCUGCCUUAAGAAUUUUAGACACUGACGUCUCAUUUGUGACGUCACAGGAGUGCUAUCAUUUGCCUGCAUUCCGAACCAGUGGUAAAUUAUUUGACGAUUCAAAAGCACUUGUAAAAGUUUAUUUGAAUAAAAAUCUAUUCUAUUCUAUUCUAUUCUGCAUUUAUUAAUUAUUUACACGAACACGAUUGUUUUACUAACACAAACCAUUAGUCAAAAUUUAUUAAAAUAUUACUAAUGAUACGUCUAUACACUUUUUAAUUCAUUCAGUAAAAUGUUUAAAAAAUAUAUUGAAAUUAAACAACAGGUACCUAUUAAUUAUCCUGUAUUGGUUUAUCAUUCCAUUUUUUGAUUUUUCAAAUAUUUUAUUUAACUGUACCUAGUGGGCCUCCAAGAAUUUAAUUUGCACCACAUCCAUUUUUGGCCUUACCUUGCCGUAAUGUAUAGUAAAAUCAUUAAAAGGACCAUAGCCCACGGCAACUUUAAACAGUGAUCAUCCACUGCAUCAUCGCACGUCGUGGCUUAUGGUUCGGUGUAUAAAAGUUCCAAAUCAAAAAAUAACAGGGACAGACUAGAUAGGAUACACUAGAAAUAAAAGUAUAGGCGCUUUAGUUAGCUAUAGUUAAUUUAUAUAUAAUUAGAUUAGAUACUGUUAUGAAGUGGUAAAGAUAAUAUGAUCCUCAUAUACGCGCGCGGCGAUUUACUUUAAAGGUAGGUAUGGUGCUGAUUUGAGUGCAUAAAACUUAACAUUAAAUUGUCAGGAGUUUAAUUAUGACCAUUUUAACUACUAACUAACAACAUAAAAUUAAAACACAACACAAAAUUCCUAAAAAUAUGAAACAGGUGGGGAGGUGAGAUAAAUACCUACCUCUUCCUUUUUUAAAUGUAACAUCUGACAUAUUGAUUUUGUUAGUAUAAAAUCUACCUAUGCCAACCAGAUCAUAAUAACGAAUGGACUGACACUUUAUUUAUCAAAAUCGACUCAGUAAUUUAGGCGUUACGGUGGAACAUACUUACGUAAAAAUAUACAUAAGUGCUAAAAUCAUAACCCUUCCUUUUGGCUUUGCUGUAGUGUCGCGUAAUAAAUAUCCUGGGUGACUAGGGUUUUGAAAAAUCCAUGGCAUGACUAAGUCAUUGGCCACUGUGAAAUAAAUAGGAUUUUCGUUUGAAAUAGCCGUUCAAAUUUUACAUUAAAUUUAAUGAUUUAUACCCAAAUUAGCACCAAUCAAGAAAAUUAAAACUUCUAAGCCCGCACGCAUAUAUUUGUGGAUAUUUAUUUCUAUACAAUAAUUUAAUUUAUAGGAACGGUUGAUGCAUUUGCCUUGUUUUUAUUUCGCUUUUGUUGUACGCGUAGUGUGCCAAAAGUGAUUCUGAUUAUGUUGAAGCAAUUUUAUGUCACAUUUAAUUUUUAGGAAGCACCGUCAAUCAAAAGUAUUAGGUAACUUGUAAAUGUUUUACAUAAACAUGUUGUGCACGUAAGUUGAACGAAUGAUAAAUGAAAUUUAUCUUACUACCUAUGUAUAUUUGUAUUUAUAUUAAUUUAACUAUACUAACUUUAGGCGAAAGAUGAGUUAUUUUAUACUAACAUCUCCACGAGUAAUUCUGGCUUCCCAUGGUAUUAAUCGAUACCGCACGUAUUUUUGUAGCAUAAAUCUUACCAAAUACGUAGUGGCGCAUAUACUAAGUAUAAAACCUUGCACACGGUUAAAACGAUUUUUUGCAGUACAAAUAACGUGUGAGUGGUUGUAUAUUCGUAUAUAACGUAGGUAGGUCAGGUAAUUAGUUCCAGAUCUGUUUUACCGACUUUUAACUUAAAGCUGAAUUUGUUAUAAAUAUCCCGCUGGCUGAAGAUGGACUUUAAAAGCAUUAAUUUCAUUAUUUUCAACAAAUUCAGACAGUUCAAUUCAAUAGAACAAAUCUGGAACUAAAUUAUUUAUUAUUACCUAAACAACCUACGUUCUUCUACGAAAUGAGGUCCCGCUGAGUAUAGGACACUUACUAACUUUAAUCAAAUUAAUUUUAAAUUUUUACCUAAUAUAAAGUUGAAUUUGUACACACAAUAAAUAUUAUAGUCACUUUGGUUAACCGUUAAAACACAUCCACAUUUACAUACCAUUUUACUUACAUACCGAGUGACUGUAUCUAUCAGUAGCAUGUCAAUGUUAUAUUUAAAAUUGAUAAGUUAUAUGUGAGAGGUGUAAGUGGAAUUAUAUAUUUGGGCUUCUGUUAAGCGAAUGUGUGCGAUUUUUGUAUUGUAAGAAAUUAUUUGUAAUAAGCGAUGGAUACAGUGGCUCGGUCGCAAUAGGCGAGUCCAUAUUUGUAUUAUUUUGAUGUAUUUAGACCGUGAUCCCACUGCAUAGGCUCUACACCUAAACUUAAAUUUAAUUCAUAGGAAUACUAUCUAUCUAUCUAUUUAUCUAUCUAUCUAUCUAUCUAUCUAUCUAUCUAUCUAUCUAUCUAUCUAUCUAUCUAUUGAUGAACGCCUCGUUGCCUAUCGAAAUUUCCCGCAAGCCAUUUUAAUUUAAUUUAAAAGAGUUCACUUUAUAGCCGUUGUAAUGGAUCAUUGAUGGUUAGGGAUACUUAUCCCUAAGAAUGCAUUAAUGGUAUAACCACAACACAACAGGGGUGAAAAAAUCAUAGUGGGAUCUCGAACCAAUCGUAUCUUAGUCGCGACAGCCCGAAGAUGAUUAGUUACUAGGCAGUAUUAUAUUUUCCGCCCUAACUGUCAUGAUUCACGGGCCCUCGCGACAGAAGUAUGGUACACCAAAAUGAUACAAAGGUACAAAGCCUUAUAAAUACAUAUAAUAUUAAUUAGGCGUAGAUCUCUGAUUGUGGGAGUGAAUGGACUGACCACGUAAGCGAUAAUUUGCGAAGCUGUUCAACAAAUUGAUAAAUUUUGUAUAAAUAUUUAUAACGAUAAUGUAACUGUUGAAAACAAAAUAUUGUAACAGAUGACAUAUUGUAAGGUGCUUAUGAUUAUCGUUAUAAUACAAAGUUGUGCAUAUA